AGUGAACGCUGGCGGUAGGCCUAACACAUGCAAGUCGAACGGCAGCACAGUAAGAGCUUGCUCUUACGGGUGGCGAGUGGCGGACGGGUGAGGAAUACAUCGGAAUCUACUUUUUCGUGGGGGAUAACGUAGGGAAACUUACGCUAAUACCGCAUACGACCUACGGGUGAAAGCAGGGGAUCUUCGGACCUUGCGCGAUUGAAUGAGCCGAUGUCGGAUUAGCUAGUUGGUGGGGUAAAGGCCCACCAAGGCGACGAUCCGUAGCUGGUCUGAGAGGAUGAUCAGCCACACUGGAACUGAGACACGGUCCAGACUCCUACGGGAGGCAGCAGUGGGGAAUAUUGGACAAUGGGCGCAAGCCUGAUCCAGCCAUACCGCGUGGGUGAAGAAGGCCUUCGGGUUGUAAAGCCCUUUUGUUGGGAAAGAAAAGCAGCAGGUUAAUACCCCGCUAUUCUGACGGUACCCAAAGAAUAAGCACCGGCUAACUUCGUG
rnacentral:rRNA from 1 species